GUAGAAAAGGCACUUCAGAUUGAGGGGACAUGAGCAAAGAAUGAAAUCAAGAAAGCACACUGUGUCCAAGAAAACCUGUGAGACCCAAUUUGGCUGCAAUUGGGUAUAUGGAUACUAGUAAAACACAACCAGAUGGAUAAGCAAGAGGAAACUAAAGCAGCCAUUCUGCAGUCCACACGGUGCAAUCCACUUCCAAUCCGCCCUCUGAUGACACACAGUUUCAGGUGGUGAACCACCGGCAGGAUGCAGGUGAUCCUCCUUCUGACA